rnacentral:rRNA from 1 species
AUGAACGCUAGCUACAGGCUUAACACAUGCAAGUCGAGGGGCAGCAUGGUCUUAGCUUGCUAAGGCCGAUGGCGACCGGCGCACGGGUGAGUAACACGUAUCCAACCUGCCGUCUACUCUUGGACAGCCUUCUGAAAGGAAGAUUAAUACAAGAUGGCAUCAUGAGUCCACAUGUUCACAUGAUUAAAGGUAUUCCGGUAGACGAUGGGGAUGCGUUCCAUUAGAUAGUAGGCGGGGUAACGGCCCACCUAGUCUUCGAUGGAUAGGGGUUCUGAGAGGAAGGUCCCCCACAUUGGAACUGAGACACGGUCCAAACUCCUACGGGAGGCAGCAGUGAGGAAUAUUGGUCAAUGGGCAAGAGCCUGAACCAGCCAAGUAGCGUGAAGGAUGACUGCCCUAUGGGUUGUAAACUUCUUUUAUAAAGGAAUAAAGUCGGGUAUGCAUACCCGUUUGCAUGUACUUUAUGAAUAAGGAUCGGCUAACUCCGUGCCAGCAGCCGCGGUAAUACGGAGGAUCCGAGCGUUAUCCGGAUUUAUUGGGUUUAAAGGGAGCGUAGAUGGAUGUUUAAGUCAGUUGUGAAAGUUUGCGGCUCAACCGUAAAAUUGCAGUUGAUACUGGAUAUCUUGAGUGCAGUUGAGGCAGGCGGAAUUCGUGGUGUAGCGGUGAAAUGCUUAGAUAUCACGAAGAACUCCGAUUGCGAAGGCAGCCUGCUAAGCUGCAACUGACAUUGAGGCUCGAAAGUGUGGGUAUCAAACAGGAUUAGAUACCCUGGUAGUCCACACGGUAAACGAUGAAUACUCGCUGUUUGCGAUAUACGGCAAGCGGCCAAGCGAAAGCGUUAAGUAUUCCACCUGGGGAGUACGCCGGCAACGGUGAAACUCAAGGAAUUGACGGGGGCCCGCACAAGCGGAGGAACAUGUGGUUUAAUUCGAUGAUACGCGAGGAACCUUACCCGGGCUUAAAUUGCAGAUGAAUUACGGUGAAAGCCGUAAGCCGCAAGGCAUCUGUGAAGGUGCUGCAUGGUUGUCGUCAGCUCGUGCCGUGAGGUGUCGGCUUAAGUGCCAUAACGAGCGCAACCCUUGUUGUCAGUUACUAACAGGUUCCGCUGAGGACUCUGACAAGACUGCCAUCGUAAGAUGUGAGGAAGGUGGGGAUGACGUCAAAUCAGCACGGCCCUUACGUCCGGGGCUACACACGUGUUACAAUGGGGGGUACAGAGGGCCGCUACCACGCGAGUGGAUGCCAAUCCCCAAAACCUCUCUCAGUUCGGACUGGAGUCUGCAACCCGACUCCACGAAGCUGGAUUCGCUAGUAAUCGCGCAUCAGCCACGGCGCGGUGAAUACGUUCCCGGGCCUUGUACACACCGCCCGUCAAGCCAUGGGAGCCGGGGGUACCUGAAGUGCGUAACCGCGAGGAGCGCCCUAGGGUAAAACUGGUGACUGGGGCU